GACGAACGCUGGCGGCAGGCUUAACACAUGCAAGUCGAGCGAAGACUUCGGUCUUAGCGGCAGACGGGUGAGUAACGCGUGGGAAUCUACCCAUCCCUACGGAAUAGCUCCGGGAAACUGGAAUUAAUACCGUAUACGCCCUUCGGGGGAAAGAUUUAUCGGGGAUGGAUGAGCCCGCGUUUGAUUAGGUAGUUGGUGGGGUAAUGGCCUACCAAGCCGACGAUCAAUAGCUGGUCUGAGAGGAUGAUCAGCCACACUGGGACUGAGACACGGCCCAGACUCCUACGGGAGGCAGCAGUGGGGAAUAUUGGACAAUGGGCGAAAGCCUGAUCCAGCCAUGCCGCGUGAGUGAUGAAGGCCCUAGGGUUGUAAAGCUCUUUCAACGGUGAAGAUAAUGACGGUAGCCGUAGAAGAAGCCCCCGGCUAAC
rnacentral:rRNA from 1 species